GAAGCGGACGCCGGGCCCAAAGCUGAGCACCUGCUCCGCUCCCAGACCCCGGGCCUCCCCGUCCCACAGCCUGGGGUCCCCCGCUCCUGCCGCCUGCCCUGAUUGUCCUUCGACUUGGUCGUUCUCCUUUCUGGCUUCCUCGCCUUCCCGUCUCCCACUCCAUUCAUUCGGCCCCUGCUUUGACCUCCGUGCUCGCCCUCAGGAUUAAAAAAAGGGGUAGAAGAAAGAAAGAAAAACAAAAGCAAAGGUAUCCAGAUUGGAGCCCUGGGGAGCCAGCGAGCCUUAGGAGGGAGCGAGGGAGCGUGGAGGAGGAGGGGAGCCGCUCUGCACCGCUGCUGCCCCUGCGGGUCGCAGUUGCGGAGCCCUGGGGAGGUGGCAGCUCGCCCUGGGGCAGCCACCCUGCCCCGAGGACACCGAGCUAGCCGGCCAGGCCCUCAGCCCAGCGCACACGGCCGGCCUCCUCCAGCCCACGCUCUGCGCUAGGAAAACGGUCUGGGUCCAUUGUCCAGGUGCCAGCAGGGCCUUCGGUGAAAGGGAGGCCGGCCGGCCCUCUGAUCAAACUCAAAGGUUAGUUAAAAGAGAAAAGAGCUGAGAGUCCUCAUGAAUAAUGCCAGGCCAGCCCACCCCUCAAGGCCCCAGCCCAGUGUAGUGCGGCCUUGGACCACUUUGUUAUGCUGCUUGCCUAAGUCAGAAUUUCACAGGAAGGCCCAGAAGAAAAGCUCCCACAAUUAGGGGUCGCCUGUCAGAAAACAUUAACGCCUCCUCUCCUGGCCUGUCAGGCUGGCUGCAGAUACAAACUGGCAUGGCGAAUUGAACCUCGACGUGAAGCCUGCCAGGCCAGAGGGGCAGGGGUUUGCAAGCAAAGGAGAUGGAGCCGCCUCAGCCUCCAGGUGGUUUCUGCAGCAUCCCGAUGCUUGCGAUGCCCCCAGGUCCAGCUUCUGAAGACUCAGCUGUGGAUGCCUGGGGUGGAGUCGCGGGAGAUGGUCCUGCACACAGACCUGACAGAUCUCUCCCGCUAAAAGCAGUGGGGGAUUUUCCUGCAGGAGAAACAAUGCAUCCUUACAUGCUACUUAAUGAGCACUGUUCAAGGGCCAGGCCUCUGGUUUUGUUAAUGAUUCGAACCCCCCCACCCAGUGGCAUUUAUUAUAUUUUCCUUAGAUGAAGAAAGUGAGACUCAAGGGCCGUGGGUCUAGCCCCUGGUCACAUAGCUCAGGAGCGACACAAACAGGAUUCGAACUCAGGUUUGCCUGACCCCAAAUUCCAGCCCCCUUCCUGUCAUAAUGCUGCCUUUUGUUUCUCCAGUGAGAUCCAAAGGCCAACUGCAUGUGCUUCCUGCUGAAAGCACGGCCCUGGUCAGUGUGUGCUUUGCCACGGUCCUUGCAUUACCAAGGCUAUGUUGUCUCUCUUUCAAUAGUCUGGUCUGGACUUGACAUUCAUGUACUGAUGAGGGGAGGAGAGGAAUGAAGGCAGGAGGGGAGUUACCCGAUGCACCGCCAAGUAAGCUGGGGUGGAACCUCUGCCUCUCCUCUCCAUAAGAGGAAGUAAUGUAAGUAACGGCCUGCCAGGUUAGCGGCCAAGAUAAAAGAAGAAGACGAUGUAAAAGUGUGUAGUAGCAUGGAAUGGAGUGCAGAAAAGAUGCUCCAAAGAACUCAGUUGACAAUCAAAUGGGAAUUCAUCUUUUCAGUUUUUUUGUGUGUAAAGAAAAUAUAUUCCCUGCAUGGGAGCGCAUCUACGAGGCACAAAUGCUGUGCUGCCCAUGAGUCCUCAGGAGCUCUGGGUGCUGCUGUUCCUCAGGGCCCACGCUGCCAGGGCCCUGAGGGGCGGUCUCGUGUGUCUCAGAGCAGCUGUCUACUGGAGUGCAGAGUUUUGGAACCUCCAAGAGAUGAGUGGUCAUCUUCUGGGAGGAGCAGGAUGGUUUGGCUGUUACUUCCCUCUUUCUAGCAGAGAGCUUUACCCUCUUUGCCUUCCGGAGUGGUUCAGAAAUAUGCACUCUUCCACCGGCCUUGGGAGGAAAUUUUCAGGAAACCACUUGCAGGAGUUUAAGGAAUGAUCAUUACUCUCGCUGCACACGGUGGCACAGGAUAAAACAGAAUGACCAGAUUUCUUAGCCGUGGAAGGGGAACCAGGACAGAUCCGUCUGGCCUCUUGUUCCACGCACGGUGUCUCCGCGUCCCGAGGAGACGGAAGGGGGUGCUGAAGACGAUGGAGCACACAGGAAGUGCAUCCUCUCUCUCCAGACGGCUUCUUGUUGAGGUGGCCACGGUGACGGCCGACUGGACCCAUCUCCCCACUCUCGGGAAUGUCACCCUCCUUCACUGGGACACACAAGAUUUGCUUUUCCAGCCAUUCUUUGCCGGUCCUUGCCUUAGGACGGUAAUAGUGGUGACAGCGAAGUCUCCUUAAAACUUCACUUAGACGCCUGGCUGGAAAACGCCGCGGUGCCUGUGGUCCCGUUUCCUUCA